rnacentral:rRNA from 1 species
UGAGGGAUAUUGCACAAUGGGGGAAACCCUGAUGCAGCGACGCCGCGUGGGUGAAGAAGGGCUUCGGCUCGUAAAACCCUUUUCUGCGUGACGAGUAAAAGGACGGUAGCGCAGGAAUAAGUCUCGGCUAACUACGUGCCAGCAGCCGCGGUAAAACGUAGGAGACAAACGUUAUCCGGAGUUACUGGGCGUAAAGGGCGUGCAGGCGGUUAUUUAAGUCUGGUGUGAAAGCGGCCGGCUCAACCGGUCAAAUGCAUUGGAUACUGGAUGGCUAGAGGACAGAAGAGGCGUGUGGAAUUCCGGGUGUAGUGGUGAAAUGCGUAGAGAUCCGGAGGAACACCAGUGGCGAAGGCGACACGCUGGUCUGUACCUGACGCUAAGACGCGACAGCAUGGGGAGC